rnacentral:rRNA from 1 species
CCCUUAGAUGUCCUGGGCCGCACGCGCGCUACACUGACGGAGGCAGCGAGCUUACCCCUUUGCCGAAAGGCAUGGGAAAUCUUUUGAAUCUCCGUCGUGCUGGGGAUAGAUCAUUGCAAUUAUUGAUCUUGAACGAGGAAUUCCUAGUAAGCGCAAGUCAUCAACUUGCGUUGAUUACGUCCCUGCCCUUUGUACACACCGCCCGUCGCUACUACCGAUUGAACGGUUUAGUGAGGGCCUCGGAUUGGUCUCGGCCCGCUCUUUACCGGGCGGCGCCGUUGGUCGAGAAGACGCUCGAACUUGAUCGUUUAGAGGAAGUAAAAGUCGUAACA